rnacentral:rRNA from 1 species
ACUAAGCAUGCGAGUCAGGUGUCUUCGGACGCCGGCAUACGGCUCAGUAACGCGUAGGAACCUACCCUCAGGACUGAGAUAGCCCCGGGAAACUGGGGCUAAUAUUAGAUAGAUAAAAGAUACUGGAAUGUUCUUUUAUCCAAAGCUUUUGCGCCUGAGGAUGGGCCUGCGUCCGAUUAGGUUGUUGGUGGGGUAAUGGCCCACCAAGCCUGCGAUCGGUACGGGCAGUGGGAGCUGAAGCCCGGAGUUGGGGACUGAAACAAGGCCCCAGGCCCUACGGGGCGCAGCAGGCGCGAAACCUCUGCAAUGGGGGAAACCGUGACAGGGGGAUCCCAAGUGCUCAUGCAUUGCAUGGGCUGUUCUUUGGUCUAAGUAACCGGAGGAGU